rnacentral:lncRNA from 1 species
UGAGAGUUGUAAUUUUUGUUAAAAAUAAUAAUAUUACUAGAAUGCAUCAACCAAUAGUGCCAUAUAAAUUGAAACUAAGGAAGAAAUAUACAACCUUCAAUCAAACAUGCCUCGAUCUCAUAUUAGGGGGAUCGGCUAUAUGAGUUCUCCAUAUCUAUUCCUCUCUGUUUAGGUCCAUGUGAUUUGAACACUAAACAAUUUGGUUACUAAGACACUGCACAUAAAAAAUGGUUCAUAAAUUGAAAUUAAGGAAGAAAUAUACAACCUUCAAUCAACUAUGCCUUGAUCUCAUAUUAGGGGGAUCACCUAUAUGAGUUCUCCGUAUCUAUUCCUCUCUGUUUAGGUCCAUGUGAUUUGAACACUAAACAAUUUGGUUACUAAGACACUGCACAUAUAAAAUGGUUUACUUAAGGCAAACGACAUGUUUUUGAGGUUCUUUAGAUCUCAUACAUAUCCCUACAAUGACAUGAAAUCUCUUAAUAAUAACCUUGGUAAACAAAAGAUAACAAUAUAUUAAUAUCUGGAUUAUUUGAGGAGACUAGAAAAAAUAUUAUCGUUUCAACGAAAUGGGAGGAGAACUAUGAGGUAUCACUUAUUAGGUUAAAAUCCCAAUGGAAGCAAAAAAAUACAAAGUAAUUUCCUCCCAUCUGCGUAAGCCUGGUGUGUGGAGUUAUUUGAUACUUGUGUUGGUAUGAGGUAGCAACUAGCAAGUACCUCAUAGAAUAGUAGAGGCGCACACCAGAUGCGGAUGCAACCUUCAGUCAGUGGCAGAGGCAGUAUAUCCACGAAGGGGGUUCAAAAAAAAAAUUGUAGCUAGUGGGAAUUGAACCCAUAAUCUUAUGUAGAUUUUGAACCCCCUUGACCACUAAACUACACUUUUUGAUUGUGUUAAGGGUAUUCAAUACUGAAUAUAUAGAGGUAAAAAAUAGAUCUUGCCUUAUAUAUACAGUAUAAUUUUUCGGCGAACCGAACACCCUUGCGCCCCCCUAAAUCCGCCCCUGCCUUCAGAAAUAAUUUCAAUGCAGAAUCAAAUGUAAUAAAUAAUAAGUAUGAGCCCAUAAUUUUAGCAAUAUAAUUAAGAACUUUAAAGAUUGAAAUAUAGAGUUUAAAUUUCGGAUCCGCCGCCCACGCACGCAAGAUGGUCUGAACACCACUUGACCAAAAUUUGCACCCACUAACCAUAAAAGGGAAAACCCAAUUACUUGAGAUAAACACGAAACAUGCUUCGCUGCUAUUUAAUAAAAAUCAUAUUAGCUGUGCAGAUGAUUGACUGAAAUCUAUUACUACUUUCAUUCCAAUUGCAAGAGAACCCGACAAUAAGUUUUGACAAGAAUCUCAUCUUAAUCAUUCCUUAUUCUCUUUGCGUGUCUGUGUGUAUGUGUAUUCCUAAGACAAUUUUUCAGAAAUUGACAUAUAAUAUAGCAAGAGGAGAGAAAGGGAACUUACAAGUGGAUUCGGAGGAACUUCUUCACAGACUAAGGAGAGCGAUUGAAAAAGCUCCGUUAUGAUUUGAAAUGGG